AGUCCUUCCCUCCUGUGGCUGGUGGGGUUGUUCCCGGUGGAAGAAUAGGACCUACAAUUGGCAAAGGCGGCAAUGGCAGAUUGGGACCUACCACUGGAGGUAUGGGUAGCCCUGAAAUCGGAGGAAGGGGUAGCUUAGGGACGGUCACUGGAGGAACGGGUAGCUUAGGUACAGUUACCGGGGGAACGGGUAGCUUAGGGACUGUCACUGGAGGAACGGGUAGCUUGGGGACGGUCACUGGAGGAACGGGUAGCUUGGGGACGGUCACAGGAGGAACGGGUAGCUUAGGUACAGUCACUGGUGGAACGGGUAGCUUAGGGAUGGUCACAGGAGGAACGGGUAGCUUAGGGACGGUCACCGGAGGGACUGGUAGCUUAGGGACGGUCACCGGAGGAACUGGUAGCUUAGGGACGGUCACCGGAGGAACUGGUAGCUUAGGGGCUUUAGGGGAGUGCUUUCCGCCCUUCCGUGGGUUGCAAGAGCCGCAUGCGAGAGAAUGUUGGGGGAGAUAGAUAAUGCAAAUGAGGAAGAGGCAAAGAGAGAGAGAUGAGA
rnacentral:lncRNA from 1 species